AUGCCCUCACCCACUGGACCAAAGCAUUCGGAAGCACAUGGAAUGCCUGAUACGCUCAGCUGCACAGUCAUCUUACAGGAGGACAAAGUCCACAGGCCAGCCGAAGAGGCUUCAGCAGCCUGGGACCCUUUUUCUGUGAAGGCCACCGGCUUCGCCCCCGCAGCAGCACCACUCGAGCCAAUGGUAAACAGUGCAGGACCUUGGUCUGCCGCGGCCGCAGGAGGCGACGGGAGAGGGCUGCCUCCAGCCGCAGGCUCGGGUGAUGCCUGGGAACCCAAGGCGGGGUGGGUUGGAGCCAGCUCGGCAUGGCCCGUCUCCAGCGCCAGUAGAGGCACAGCCUGCAAAGCCGCGGCACCAUCCUGCUCGGCUGCCAGGGGACAACCCGGGCUCGCAGGAGGGGAAACCCGCAGCAUGGGGCCGGCAGAACCCGGCCCGGCGUCCACACCACUCACAGCACCCAUCCCCAAGCCCCCCGAAUCCGGCACGGGGGGGGCAGCGCUUGGAACCACCCCUAACAGCGUUUCUUCAGGGGCGAAAAGUCCAAGAAGCAGCGCUGGCCCCUCCUCUGCUGGAACAGCCUGCGCGGCCGCCGGCGAGGGGCCUGGGCCUGGCCCAUCCCCCACCGUGGGGCAGGGCACGGCCCAGCCGCAGCAGGGACAUGGGACCAACCCUGAGGUAUCCCCCAGGGCCGGCGCUGCCCCCCGUUCAGGCAGCCCCUCAUCGGUCUGCGCUGGGAGGGCACACGAAGGAGGUGACCCCGCCCCGGGCUUCCAUCGUCAGGGUGCGGGCCGAGGCGGGGUUACACCCCCCCAUUCCACGGCGCCCCCAACAUUCCCGUUGGCAAGGAUCCAACCCCGCCUCAGGCUUCCACUGCCGGGGCUCUGGCUGAGGCAAGGGUCACAUCCACCGGUCCCACAGUGGCCCCGUUCAACCCGCCGGGGGCCCCAGCAAUCCCGGGGGAGCCGACAUCGGGACCCAACUUCAGAACGCCACCGCACCUUCGCCAGAUCCCCAGCAGCCGGACCAGUCGGGGCUCAUAACUGA
rnacentral:lncRNA from 1 species